rnacentral:rRNA from 1 species
UACAGAGGUCUCAAGCGUUGUUCGGAAUUACUGGGCGUAAAGGGUGCGCAGGCCGCGCGUGCAGUCAAAUGUGUAAUCCAGGGGCUCAACCCCUGAACUGCGCUUGAUACUUCCGCGCUCGAGCUUUGGAGAGGAGUCUGGAAUUCUCGGUGUAGCAGUGAAAUGCGUGGAUAUCGAGAAGAACACUUAGGGCGUAGGCAAGACUCUGGACAAAUGCUGACGCUCAUGCACGAAGGCUAGGGUAGCGAACGGG